GGGGCGGGACAAAGGAAGCGCGCCCUCGCCUCGUGCGCUCCCCCACGCCUUCAGGCUGAGGUUUCCACGUAAUGGUGGAGUUUCAGGGCGGCCAAGCCAGAAAGCCAUGCCGAGGUCCUCCCGCGUGCUUCGCAGGAGCUCCGGCGCAGAGGACGUAGGGAGAAAAGGUUCCCUCAACCUCUGCCUCCUUCGUGGGGCUCCUACCACGACCACCCGCGCGCCCGCUUCCCAAGCCUGACGAGCCCCGGGCCCCGCGAUUCUAAGACAUGACUGGAAAGCCCUGCUUCUGUUGGAAGCUACUGCGGCUGAGGUAUCCACAAGUAAGUAAUGUGAUGUAUUGAUGACCCUCCCCAAGAAUGAAGACCCCAAGUUAGAGCCCCUGGUUGCCUUGUCUCCCAGAACUAAAUACUCUUACAGUGAACUCGUCUCUGGGAGGUAUACCAGGUGUUACCUUGACUAUUUACAGCAUGAGGAGACCUAAUAGCAUUUCAAAUCCAAAACAUUAUUCUGUACCUGUGUCUGAACUUCUCCCUGCCGCUACUCAAGCAACAACUAAGAAGUAAUAUAUUUCCCAGGCCCUCUAAUAACACCUUCCUACGUUUGUUUGGAGAAUGCUUUUCAUUUGACUCCACCAGAAAUUAUGUAAAUACAUUUACUUUUAGUUCAAAACAAAUUAAUCUUGGGUAAUUUCACAUUGCACUUCAGAGAUUUGCCUUUAUCAGGCAACCCACAGAUGAGAAAAUCAUUCCUUACCCACAAACGCUUUAUGCUGCUGAGAAUCUCUGCCUGGCACUUUUCUACUAACCACAUUGUUGCCUAAUGAGAUAUAGACUGUAACAAAAAAGACAGAUAGUCCCUAACUACUUCCUAUCAAAAUCCCAAAGAGCCUGUGCCUUACUAAAUCUGGCUUAAACCUCUAGUUUUCCUAACCCAAAACAUUUAAAAGGAACUAUAGUAGCAAGUCCAAGUAAUUCAGUUUGUUAGCUGUAUCACCUCUCCCUCCUGUCUCUUUGGAACAGUGUUACAGAUAGAGCUGCUCUGUCCCAAAAGAAAACCAUCAUCUUAUUAAAUGGGGGGAGGGGCACAAGCAACAGGAGUACAUAAAAUGUCAUAUUUCAUUUCUGAAGACAAAGGAAGCAAACAGUGUAUAACGUGAAGAGAACCAGUAGGGAAAGACACUUAGAAAGGCACAAAACAUGUAGUCACUGUUAGUUAUUGUUAUAUCCUUAAAGAAGAGCUAAUGGUCUAAAAAUAAAGACUCAUAUAAUCAC
ensembl:lncRNA